rnacentral:rRNA from 1 species
GACGAACGCUGGCGGCAUGCUUUACACAUGCAAGUCGAACGGCAGCGGGGCUUCGGCCCGCCGGCGAGUGGCGAACGGGUGAGUAAUGCAUCGGAACGUGCCCAGUCGUGGGGGAUAACACAUCGAAAGAUGUGCUAAUACCGCAUACGUCCUGAGGGAGAAAGCGGGGGAUCUUCGGACCUCGCGCGAUUGGAGCGGCCGAUGUCGGAUUAGCUAGUUGGUGGGGUAAAAGCCCACCAAGGCGACGAUCCGUAGCGGGUCUGAGAGGAUGAUCCGCCACACUGGGACUGAGACACGGUCCAGACUCCUACGGGAGGCAGCAGUGGGGAAUAUUGCACAAUGGGCGAAAGCCUGAUGCAGCAACGCCGCGUGAGUGAUGAAGGCCCUAGGGUUGUAAAGCUCUUUCAGCUGGGAAGAUAAUGACGGUACCAGCAGAAGAAGCCCCGGCUAACUCCGUGCCAGCAGCCGCGGUAAAUCACU